GACGAACGCUGGCGGCGUGCUUAACACAUGCAAGUCGAACGAGUGGCGGACGGGUGAGGCAUGUCUGGGAAACUGAACGAUGGAGGGGGAUAACUACUGGAAAAGGUAGCUAAUACAGAAUACCAUCGGUUGUGCUCAGAGGGGAUUAGCUAGUAGGUGGGGUAACGGCUAACCUAGGCGACGGUCCCUAGCUGAGCGCAGAGGAUGACGCGCAACACUGGAACUGAGACACGGUCCCGACUCCUACGGGAGGAAGCAGUGGGGAAUAUUGCACAAUGGAGGCAAGCCUGAUGCAGCAAUGCGGCGUGGAUUAAGAAGGCCUUCGGGUUGUAAGUUACGUUCAGCGAGGAGGCGUUACUCGCAGAGAAAGCGCCGGCUAACUCCGUGCCAGCAGCCGCGGUAAUAC
rnacentral:rRNA from 1 species